UCCUCAAUCUCAUUCAACAGAAACCUUACCAACUUUUCUCAAAAAUCUACUCGAUCUUCUUGAACAAAAGUUUAUAACCCUUUGUCCAACACUUCCUCAAUCUCAUUCAACAGAAACCUUACCAACUUUUCUCAAAAAUCUACUCGAUCUUCUUAAACAAAAGUUUAUAACCCUUUGUCGAACACUUCCUCAAUCUCAUUCAAAAGAAACUCUAUAGCCCACUGUCAAACAUUUAGCUAAUCUCAUUCAACGGAAUCUUUUUAACCCUUUGUUGAACAUUUCCUCAAUCUCAAUCAACAGAAACUCUAUAGCCCCUUUAUAAACAUCUAGUAUUUCUCAUUGGACAGAAACUUUAUAUCCCUUUGUGAAACAUUUAGUCAAUCUCAUUCUACGGAAACUUUAUAAACCUCUCCCACACAUUUAGUCAAUCUUGGUGAAAAGAAACUCUAUAACCCUUUUUCAAACAUUUAAACAAGAUUAGUGACCAAACCCUUUAUAACCCCUUCUCAAACAUUUAGUCAUUUUCAUCCAACAGAAACUUUAUGUGAAACAUUUAGUCAAUCUCCUUCAACGAAAACUUUAUAACCCAUUGUCUAUCCUUUAGUCAAUCUUAGUUAACAAAAUCUCUAUAACUCUUCCUCAAACAUGUAAUUUUUCUCAUUGAACAGAAACUUUACAACCCUUUGCCAAAUACUUAGUCAAUCUCAUUCAACAGAAACCUUACCAACUUUUCUCAAAAAUCUACUCGAUCUUCUU